AUGAUAAAUGGCAUGUAUUAUAUUGGUAUUGAACCAAAAAGGACCAGGGUAUUUAUUUGUAACUUAGUGUUGUUACGUGUGGGGAUUUAUUAGGCCACACAGGAUCGCGUCGAGCUUCUCAGCAGAACUGUUAAACCGAAAGAUAUCUGUUCAGAGAUUCACCGUGUCGUUACGUUUGCACAGUAUAAUAGCAAGCAAGGGAAGCUGACAGUUGGCAGUGUAUUGGCACUCGAUCAGUGCAGAUGUAGUAUUAUGGUUAUUACGAAUCUAUUCCUGGAUAUACUGUCAGAAACAAGAGAAAUGCGAGCAAUUUAAGACGGGAGCAUCGUAAUGGCUAGGUACCAAGCAACGCUGUAUUUACCCAUGACUGUGGUGUAUGGGCGGUUAUGUACGUUUGGUUUGUAUGGAAAUUAUAGAACAUUCAGGUGUAAAGAAUCCGAAAAAUGUUGUCGUGAUGAUUGUUGUGAAACAGAUGCUGAAGUAUAUACACUUUGGUAUUUCUGGGUAGCAAUUCUUCUUCUGUUAACAUUACUAUCAGGAUUGUCAUAUAUAGCAUGGAGACGUUGGUUGAAAAGUAAACAAGAAAGUAGAACAUCAAAUAAUCAAAGUAUUACAACAGGGGUAGCCACAACAGAAUAUACACAAGUGUCUGGUAUAGCCCCUCCGCCAUAUAAACAUUCCCCACCCCCUUACACUCGAGUAGAUACUGUUAUACCACCCCCAGCAUAUCAAGAGAAAGACUCAAUGACGUCAGUUACCCACAGUUAACGUCAUGUCAACUUUGUUUUUACAUAAAAAGACAAAUUUAGGAAUUAUUUAUAUACAGUCAAGUAAGAAGAAUCGAUGUUCGGUCAGUUUUAUGCAACUCACAACUGGAAUAUGUACUGUAUAAAUGUGUUUAGAGAAGAAUACAAUAUGUAUUACAUUCAUCUGUAUAUAACACAAACUAAUAUCUAUAUACAAGAUAUAAUAAUACACAUAUACACAACUAAUUAUACAAAAAUAGCAAUGUGACAACACUAGGGCAAGAAACACAAACGUGUAUACCUUCACGUUAGAGUGAACGUCCAAUUGGAGUUUAUACUGCAAAGACUGAGUGCGUUCUAUUAGCUGUCAAUAUGGUCAAUCACUAUGGAGAUAUAUAAACCGUGUGCGGAGGGGGGCGUAUAAUUAUUAACCAAAUCUUUUGUAACCCGAGUUUUCGUAGCACACGCACGUGUGUUGUUAAUUAUUACGGAUAUGCCAAUGUUUUAUGCUGAAACUUUUAAGCAUUUAAAGACCUGUUGACUAUACUGAUUUGCAUGUGUAAACUGGAUAAACCAGAUGUGACGUGGGUGUUUAACGGCCGCUUCCACCGAAGUGAUAAUCGUCGACAAAUGUGACGUGUCGGACUUCUCUUUUUAAAUGAAAGAUACGAAUGAUUUUAUGCGUGCCAAGUAUAAAGGAAGGACUAAAAUAGGAUUUAACGUCCUACUUUUUUGUAUUAACCGGACUAACGAAGAGGAGGGCAAAAACAAAAAGACCAUUGCUAUACGUUUUGUCUUCCGAUUUGCAUAUUUAUACCUGCUUUGAUAAACUAUCUUGUGAAAUGUGGAAGUUCACCUUUAAAUCAAAAACAUCACCAAGUUUAUGCAGACAAAUUAUAUGAUGUAUAUUUAAUUAUUCUUUGUGGGGAUCAGAAUGUAGUUAAAUGUUUGUUUAUAUUUUACUAUAUGUUAUUCAUGUUAAAGUUACUCGUUGUUUUAUGUAUUAUGUUGAAGUAUUACUUACCGUACUAUGUAGGGGUGUGGUGAGUGGGGCUAUGGUCCUGGGUAUUCAUUUCAUAUUUAAACUGGACCCUAUACCUCGAGCCUUGUGGGGCACACAAUCAAUGUGUUGGGCCUCGGUCAUCACGAAAUCUCAUUGAUUACAGUACAACACCUACUGCCUACCAAAGACAUGGGUUUUUACACCAGGACAACAUCGCUGUACGCCUCAGAUUAGCUUAGGGGUAAACAUGCCUUACCAUGUACACGGCUUUAUAGUUAAAACUUAUAGCUGUUAGAUCAGAACGGUGUCUCAGUAGAACAUAUCAUGACCUUCGCUCGAUUAUUGAACAAACCUACUCUCUUUGAUUUUCACUAUGAUACAUUAAUGUUCUUCAAUUUGCGGUUCGGUUUCUUCUCCAUAUCAUCAUUGCACGCCCUCACUUUCGCCUGGCCUGUUGGUUUCAAUCCAAUACAUGACUCACGUAUAUGCCUGAUUGCUUUCUUUGAUAUAUUCAUUUAUGGUUUUCUGGUUUCCCACAAUUUCUAGUUUAAGACCCGGUAAAAAGAUCUUAUACGCAGAAUCCUUCUUAGACAAGUGUCGAUGAAUACCCGUAGUUUGGAUUCGAUGCCCUUCUUUGCCUCUAAGUCUCCAACCCAUAAAAGUAAAUUUCCUUAGAUGGCAUUGACGGACUGACGUAUAAAAACCGGACCGUGUUACCUAAUGUUAUUAAAGUAGUAUUAAUUUAUUAAAAUCCAAUCAUGUCCAGACAGGCUAAUAGCAUGGUCAUUUACAAUCUUUAUUAUCCUUACAUACCUCAAUAUUUCUCAAAUACAACGUUUUAAAACUCUUAAUUCUUACAUUGGUUGACUACUAAAAUAACAUUUGUUUACAAUAACUGAUGAUAUAGCAAGAUAAACAAUGACCAUUAUUCAAGAAUUGCAAGUUAGAAUUAAUAUGCAUAUUUCAAUAAUUAGUAGGAUUAAUGAGGAUAAAUUAUUCUGGCGUGUAUAUGCAUACUUAUUAAUUAUGCUAUUUUGUUAUAAAGAGUUAAUUGUUUUUUGGUGUCAGACUGCAGCUAUUUAACAAUGAUAAAUACAUGACAUAAUAACCAUUACAAUCAUUUUCCGUCGUAGUUUUCCGUCAGUGGUGCAGGAUGGGGGACCUGGAGAGGACAGCUGUCUAGUCGUUCGGAAGGUGCGAAAACCAGAGGUCGCGCGUACACAUUGGCGAGAACAUAAAAGAUCCCUUGGCAGUUGGAAUUCGAUAUAAGAGUAGGCCUUAGCGUCGCUGUCCGGACAAAAUUUCCCUCAUAGCACACUGUAUCUUCAUUAGUCCAGUUGGGGAAGGCCAGUAGGACGUUAAACCCCAUUUCAUUUCAUUUCAAUCAUUGUAUAUCCAGUAACAAAAUUAAUGAACAAUAAAAAGGUUAUUACAAAUUAACAAUAAACGUAUAGGCCGACAUCUUACUGAAUACUCGAGUGGACAUUACCCCCACCCUCACCUCUCUCUCUCUCUCUCUCUUUCUCUCUCUCUCUCUCUGUUAUCAAUUAUCUCCCCUUGAAUCAGAUUUUAUAAGCGCGUAUAUUAUUAAACACAUAUACAUCUAUAUUUAACAAUAAAUUAUUAUAUAUUGUAAAGUUGUGGGGUUUCCCUUUUAAUCUUUUUUUUUUAUUGUGUUGUUUAUUAAAUUGGUAAUAAAUAAAUAUUUAUUAUUC